GGGGCCUGGUGGGGCGAGGCUCGAUGCGGGGGCGAGAGGGUCUCGUGUGCGGACGCGGUCUCCCUGGUAGGCGGGGCUUGGUGCUGGGGGCGGGGCCUGGCGGGCGCGUGCUGUGGCCUAUCACUGGCAGACACGUCUCAGCGAUUCCUCAGAAUCCUCGAAGGAGGCGGCCGGGGUCCAGCGCUGCAGCGCAGUGGAGGCGGAGUCGCAGGCGCGGGUCGGGCCUUGCUGGGGCAUGGAGCGCGGCCCCCGGAGAAAGCGGCCGCCUCGGGACAGGAGGGACCCGGGAGAAGCCCCCCUGGGGCGGCUCCGCCUGUCGGGGUCGCGCCUCUAAGCCACCUUAGUAGAGAGGCUCCUUUGCGCCGAGAUCGCGACCCUCGAGGGAGCCACGGCCCGGUGAACCACGCUGCCCGUCCCGGCCAUUGGCUGCGCCUUUCUUUCGUGGGACCCCACCCCGCAAGGCCUGCAGAGCUGCGGCCUCUUCCCGAGUGUUCUCAUCGCGGACCGAGCUGCCCCCGCGUCCAUUCUACGGCCGACACCCGAGCGCCGCCCGGAGCUGAGGGGAGCAGGCCAAGUUCCAGACUAGCCUGGGAAACGCAAAGCGACCCCACCUCUACAAAAGUGGGUUUACUUUAAGUUUUUGACUAGUCCCCAGUUCACAAAAUUGACAUUUUGGCAGAUGAAGAUUGCAAGGAAACUGACGUGUCUAGAACUGAACGGUGAUAUCUCCGAUCCGCCUGUGCUAACUUCCAGCACUACAGAGUUUGAUGCAGCUAGAUGGUUUUCUCCCCGGCUGGUUGCUGCUUCUCACCCACGGAAGAGGUGGAGCCCUCGGGACCGGGCAGAACACAGGGCUGCCUCGUCACCACUGCCUGGCUUAACCUGAAAUUGGGUCAUUUGACAGAAAGACUUGAAAGGGCCACCAGUAAAUUCUUUUUUCUUUUCA